rnacentral:lncRNA from 1 species
GAUUCACGUCUCAUAGACUUGGAUUCUCAUGAAAAAACAGCAUUAAAGCAAUAAAGGGAGAAGCUAAGGUUACAUUGGGACCUUUGUAGAGUAGAACGAAUAUGAAAAUCACCCAAGAAAUCACGCUGGUCUGGAAACGAAGCUCAAAAGAGCGUUGCCGCUGGAAUUUCAGCAGUGACAAAGUCAGUAUUUUGGGCCACAAUUUGAGAGGGUUGGAGACACUUUUGCACACAAUUUCUUAACAAAAGUUGUUCAUGGGUAUCCAUAGAUGGUGUAGAAAAAAAGAAUUCGCUCAAAAAACCAUAAAUCAAGUCAGAAAUUGAUCGAGAAAGAGGCUGGUCGAUCAGCCUGAUCAGAAAUUUUUCCAGCAGAAAAAAUUUUCCCUUCCUUCCCUGAUUUCCUCUCGCUUUUCUUUCUUUUGCCUUUCGUUUUCCUUUCUGCUCCUCCCCAGACUCUCCCAGAUCCUUUCUUCCCUCUUUUCUUUUCCUUUUUUUCCUUUCCUCCUUUCUU